GAUAACAAGGUUAUAUCACAGGUUAUAUCAUAACACGUUAUGUUAUAUUACGUUAUAUUAUAUCGUAACACGUUAUAUCAUGUUACGGUUCGUUGUAUUAAGUUAUAUUAUAUCACGUUGUCAUCGUUUUUCUGCCGCGCGUUAUUGCAUUCUUACACGGCCGUGUUUUUUGCCCGUUUUUCCGUUGGUCAUUUACUCCUUUCCCCACCUCAAACCUCCUCUUUUUCUCCUUCCUGGACUCCACCCGUUUGCGCGUUCGACUUCCUUUCGCUUUGUUACAUUCGUUCGAUUCAUGUUUGUCCUCUUGUUCUCGCUCUCGUUUCCUCGAUUUCCGUAUCGUUGUUAUUAAAUCUGAACGAUCGUUCCGCGUUUGCAUAGCAAUUUUCCGAAUAAAGCGAGUCGUUCGUAUUUAUGCCAGCGGGUAUGGUACGUUUCUGGCUCUGGGAUUAAUUCUACGGAAUUUAUGCAGUUUUCCGAAAUUCCCAGGAGCUACGAGGUUUCUUUAUGAAGUGUACAUUGUUGGCCUUAUUCUCUGCACAUCCGCUGUCUGAUUUAUUCGUUUGUUUCGGUAUUUUUACAUAUGUACGUACGUUGUUGCUGUACCACGAAGUGUAUAUUAGAUAUUUUUUAAACGCCUUGUUGCAACUUCACAAUGGUACAGCCUUUGCGGUAAUGAAAUAUAGUUGAAGAUAGGUGGAAAAUAUUAUUUCUCGUUUUUUGUAGCAAAGCAAUUUUAAAAUUCGGUACAUCGUCAACCUAUUACAUAUCAAAGUUAUUUAUCUCUCUGGAUUAAACCUGUGAAUUGCGAUGUUAUCUUCUUGAACAUUCAACGAAUAUUAAUAACAUUACGAACAUGUAUAUGUAAACUAAUAUUAAUUACUAAACAUGGUGGAUUUAUCACUUGCUUCGAAAGCAUCUUCAAAUCCAUUAUGUUUUAUCCCUUUUAUUUUACGUUGGAAUAGUUCUUUUUAGACAUCGUACGACACAAAAGUUGGAAAAUCAACAAGGCUGCGUGCUGUUCGAUUGUGAAAUAAAAAUGGUAGAACUUCAAAACUUAGUGCAAAACGUAACGAAUCGGGAGACUGUAUAAUGCUCUGAUUUUUAGGAAAUAUUUUAUUUCAUCGAUUUCUUCUUUGCGAGCUUCGAAGAAAAGGACUUUGACUUUCAAAUCAUCUUUGCUUUUAAUCGUUAAGGAGGUCGAAUAUCGAUCCACCCUUUAAGCCACUUCUGAAAUUUUUGAACUCUCGUCCCUUCAAUUACACCAGCUUAAACUUUGCGAACUUCUCAAGCCUCGAAUCACGACUUUUAAUUUAAUCCUUUGACAUCCGACACUGACUACAGACCACCGGUAUUCGACUUCUGCACCUUCGAGCCUUUUCGAUCAUCGGACUUGCCGCCAAGCUUUCUGUUACUCCACUCUAAGCGUUCUCCACUCUUAUUCAUAGACUUGAAAAUUCCAUUAGCUUUCAUGUCAACAACCGAGCGAUGUACUCAGCCACGAAACGAAUCACAUAACGUCGUCGCCAUCGAAAGUUUCUGCAUAUAUGAAUCUAAUCGUAGAUACGUACGUACUGUUGGAAUGCGAAUUUCUAGCUGUAUCGUUGAAUCCAAUAGAAUUAAAAAUAAAUUAGCGAAGCUUUACAAGUCACUAGUAUCGAUAAAUACUUAAAUAUCGGUAUCUUUAAAUGACAGCAAUAAUCUUAAUCGUGGAAGAAAUGAAAUUUUACAAGUAGAGAGAUGACAAGUUAUUCGACUAUUCCACAUGAAACUAUGAAAUUGCAAUCUAUAACGUGUAACUUCUAACUAUCGAUUGCCUAACGUUAUUAACUGAUAAAUUAUUGCGCAAGAGAUCGCAUAACGUGAUGUCAUCGUAAAAAAAAUGUGUCACAUAAAUCAUAUAAAUCCCUCCAUACAAAUAUAUCAAGUGUGAUAGGAUUUUUGAUAGCAGCUGCCUAAUCACAACGUAAUAUUGCUACCAAAAUUUAUUCGUGCCUAAAUCUUUCCAUGUAUAUAGAUAUACAGUACCAACGCUGCGCAAUAAAUUCGAUUACAAACAUAUCGCGUGUAAUUUAUAUGCAACGAAUGCAAAGUGCUUCGAAGACCAAUGAUCUGGAGCAAGAAUCGAAGAACCAUGUUUUUUUUUAAGUUAAAACGAUAAGAAAGUAACACAGCUCAUUCCUAUCUCCUCUGCUACUCGUUUCACCUUGUUUUUCUUCUGUAGUAUGCUCGGGACAUUUCCAAACGACUCGCCGUAGAAGAAAGAGUUCACGCAAUUUCCUCGAGCAGGAGGUUGACUUCAAUAAGCAAUCUCGAUGGGAAAAAGUCUAGACGAUAAGUAACGCGGAGGCACCGUGUUGGACAGGGGUGGACACCCCGGUAAUUAGAUGUCGCGCUCGACGUCGCGAUAAUUAGCACGGAUUGUUUUUCUCCCCACGGCAAUUAUCGUAGUUCGUGUGUCGUUUCUUCUUCGGUCGAGGACAACGAAUAGGAUUCGCCGGCUCCGCGUCGUCGUCGUCGUCGUCGUCGUCUUCGUCGUGUCGUGGGACAAGAAAAUGGGGCGGAAAGGAACGCGCGUAUGACACAGACGAAAAUAAUUAUGGUCGGUUAGAACGCUGGGAAAAGUUUGUCCCGUUUUGUGGAAGUAAUUACACUUUUACGUCGCUGGUGAACGGGACUCGGCUUUGACGAACUCUCUGGCAAGAUUGAAUAGCCCCGUCUGCCCCUGUUUCAUUUUUCUUUUUCUCUUCAUUUUUGCCCUCGAUGCACCCGUUCGAACGUUGCUUAAUUCGCGUAAUCGUCCCCUCGUGGCAAAGUUUCUUACAACUGGAUUUCUCUCAUUGUUUUUAAUUAUGAUCGAUCUUGAAAUCUAGUUGCAACUGUAUCUGCAACUGUAUUUAAGGAAAUACUGUUCAAUCAUAGGAAUUCUGCGAUGGCACUAAAAAUUCUUUAUGGAAUUGUAUCUUGAUUUGCGUUUGCCCGAUUUUUUGGUUACGCGGUUCCUCUCGUCGCUCUUAAUCACCGUUGAUCUCGAAAUCUGGCCGUUACAAGGUAACCUGUCUCGUUUAGAGAAGCUGAGAUUCUUCUUGGCUAUAGAAAUUUGAAUUCCCUGCAUGGAUACACCUUGAUUUACCUCGCAUCUACGUCGUUCGUAUUCGCACACAGUAACUGAUUCGUGCAUAAAUACGGAACGUUAUAUUCUACACGUUAUAUAUUGUACAAGAGAUCAGUUAUUUUAUCUACGUCUGUUAACAUCCAAGACUUAACACCUGUAUCGUCCAAAUUACAAUUUAUAAGCGACGCUAUCGAACGUUUUACGAGGCUGUUGGUAAUUUCUUAGGAGCAAAGAUUAACGGUGGUUCGACCGUUUCAGUCGAGAAGUUUUUCUAUGUACUACGUUAGGGUAGUUCUAAAGUUGUCGAUGCUGUUAUUUAAGUUUCAAACGGCCUUUCUCCCCCGCGCUUCCCAGAGUCGAUCCUCAAACUAGUACGUUUAAUUCCACGGGAAGUUUUUCGAUUACACCGAGUCACCAAUCGACGUAACACAUUACGCUCAAUAGGGGUGGUAGCUGUACACGCCGGCCCUCGAGUGUCUUGAAACAACGAUAAAAGCGGAGAAAGCUUCCUUUCCGCUCGGGCAAAAUAAUAUUGUUCCAUGGCUCUUACUGUUAACGUGAUCGCUCCUGACCGAUGGCAUCGCGCGCAACAUUUUACUUUGAUUAAAAUCGAGUGAAUCGAUUGGAAAAUUAAGCGUGAAAACUAUUAACUGCUAGCUACUCAGUCGAUGAUCAUGCAAUUAUCAAGCUUCAUUUGCAAACAUUUAUGCGAUCGAACGACGUUUAUUAUAUUAUCUCUUUUCUUCUACGAUACAGACAGUUGAAGGUAAUAGAAGCUGCAAAAUUCGAAUACUUGGAAGUAGUUUUGCCUUCGUCUACUAAACUGUCGGAUUUCGAAAUUUGUAACCUUAACUAAAUAACAAUAGUGGCAAAUCGAAUAAAAUGCUAAAUAAGAAAAUGCUAAAUCGAACCCAUCCAGAUAAUUUUCUUUCGACCUGACAAAUAGCGAAGCUUCUAAAUUUUUAAUUCCAAGUAGUAAUUUUCCUUUGAUCCUUUAAAUCGGCAAGUUUCUGAAUUUUAAAGAGUGAAGUAGAAAAUUAAGAUCCGGGAGAAAAUCUUG